GACGAACGCUGGCGGCGUGCUUAACACAUGCAAGUCGAACGAAGUGGCGAACGGGGGAGUAAUACGUGAGUAACCUGCUCUCCUUUUUGGGAUAAGCCUUGGAAACGGGGUCUAAUACCGGAUAAAGGGGGAUGGGCUGGCGGCCUAUCAGCUUGUUGGUGGGGUGAUGGCCUACCAAGGCGGUGACGGGUAGCCGGCCUGAGAGGGUGACCGGCAACGUAGCGACUGAGAUACGGCCAAGACUCCUACGGGAGGCAGGAGUGGGGGAUGGUGCACAAUGGGCGCAAGCCUGUUGCAGCGACGCCGCGUGAGGGAUGAAGGCUUUCGGGUUGUAAACCUCUUUCGGUACAGGACGGGUAUGUGCAGAAGAAGCGCCGGCUAACUACGUGCCAGCAGCCGCGGUAAUUC
rnacentral:rRNA from 1 species